AUGUUGAUCCCUGAUUUGGUUGCC
rnacentral:siRNA from 1 species